rnacentral:rRNA from 1 species
UACGUAGGGCGCAAGCGUUUAUCCGGAAUUAUUGGGCGAAAGAGCUCGUAGGCGGUUUGUCGCGUCUGCCCGGUGAAAGUCCGGGGCUCAACUCCGGAUCUGCGGUGGGUACGGGGCAGACUGAGAGUGAUGUAGGGGAGACUGGAAUUCCUGGUGUAGCGGUGAAAUGCGCAGAUAUCAGGAGGAACACCGAUCGGCGAAGGCAGGUCUCUGGGCGAUUAAACUGACGCUGGAGGAGCGGAAAGCCUGGGGAGCGAACAGG